AUGAUUAUUUCUCCUCGGCUCAGACCCAUCCUGCCUGGACCACACACUGCCUGGACCACACACUGCACAGAUCACACACACUGCACAGACUACACACACUGCAUGGAUCACACACCCGGCCCGGACCACACACACUGCACAGACCACACACUGCCCGGACCACACACACUGCCCAGACCACACACACUGCACGGAUCACACACCCUAACCGGACCACACACACUGCACAGACCACACACUGCCCGGACCACACACUGCCCGGACCACACACACUGCACGGAUCACACACUGCACAGAUCACACACACUGCACAGACCACACACACUGCAUGGAUCACACACCCGGCCCGGACCACACACACUGCACAGACCACACACUGCCCAGACUACACACUGCCCGGACCACACACACUGCAGAGACCACACACACUGCCCGGACCACAAACUGCACAGAUCACACAAACUGCCCGGAUCACACACACUGCCCGGACCACACAACCUGCACAGACGACACACUGCCGGACCACACACUGCCCGGACCACACACACUGCCCGGACCACACACACUGCCCGGACCACACACUGCCCGGACCACACACACUGCCCGGACCACACACACUGCCCGGACCACACACUGCCCAGACCACACACUGCCCGGACCACACACACUGUCCGGACCGCACACACUGCCCGGACCACACACACUGCCCGGACCACACACUGCACAGAUCACACACACUGCCCGGACCACACGCUGCCCGGACCACACACACUGCCCGGACCACACACAGUGCACGAAUCACACACACUACCCAGACCACACACACUGCCGGAUCACACACACUGCCCAGACCACACACUGCCCGGACCACACACUGCCCGGAGCACAUACCCUGCCGGACCACACACACUGCCCGGACACACACCCUGCCCGGACCACACACUGCACAUAUCACACACACUGCCAGGACAACACACUGCCCAGACCACACACACUGCCCAGACCACACACUGCCCGGACCACACACUGCCCAGACCACACACACUGCACAGACCACACACACUGCCCGGACCACACACACUGCCCGGAUCACACACACUGCCGGACCACACACACUGCACAGACCACACACACUGCCCGGACCACACACACUGCCCGGAUCACACACACUGCCCAGACCACACACUGCCCGGACCACACACUGCCCGGAGCACAUACCCUGCCCGGACCACACACACUGCCCGGACACACACACACUGCACAGACCACACACACUGCACGGAUCACACACACUGCCCGGACCACACACUGCCCGGGCCACACACUGCCCGGACCACACACACUGCACAGACCACACACUGCCCAGACCACACACUGCCCGGACCACACACACUGCACAGACCACACACACUGCACAGACCACACACUGCCCAGACCACACACACUGCACAGACCACACACUGCCCGGACCACACAUACUGCCAGGACCACACACACUGCACGGAUCACACACCCUGCCCGGACCACACACUGCCCGGACCACACACUGCACAGACCACACACUGCCCAGACCACACACUGCCCGGACCACACACACUGCACGGAUCACACACACUGCCCGGACCACACACACUGCACGGAUCACACACACUGCCUGGACCACACACUGCCCAGACCACACACUGUCCGGACCACACACUGCCCAGACCACACACUGCCCGGACCACACACUGCCCGGACCACACACUGCCCGGACCACACACACUGCCCGGACCACACACUGCCCAGACCACACACUGCCCGGACCGCACACACUGCCCGGACCGCACACACUGCCCGGACCCCACACACUGCCCGGACCGCACACACUGCCCAGACCACACACACUGCACAGACCACACACUGCCCGGACCACACACACUGCACAGACCACACACUGCCCGGACCACACAUACUGCCCGGAGCACACACACUGCACAGACCACACACUGCCCGGACCACACACACUGCACGGAUCACACACCCUGCCCGGACCACACACUGCCCGGACCACACACUGCCCAGACCACACACUGCACAGACCACACACUGCCCAGACCACACACACUGCCCGGACCACACACACUGACCGGACCACACACACUGCCCGGACCACACACACUGCACAGACCACACACUGCCCGGACCACACACACUGCACAGACCACACACUGCCCGGACCACACAUACUGCCGGAGCACACACACUGCACAGACCACACACUGCCCGGACCACACACACUGCACGGAUCACACACCCUGCCCGGACCACACACUGCCCGGACCACACACUGCACAGACCACACACUGCCCGGACCACACACACUGCCCGGAGCACACACACUGCACGGAUCACACACACUGCCCGGACCACACACACUGCACAGACCACACACCCUGCAUGGACCACGCACACUGCACAGGGUCCCGGUGCGGGACCCUGUGUCUGCCUCUCAGGAGAAAGAAGAAGGAAGCUGACACAGUGGGAGACACCCCGAGCCUGUUUUAUCAGCUCAUCUUGAUCACAGCCGAUAAAGAAGGAGUUGCCAUUGUCUCAUGA
ensembl:lncRNA